UACGUAGGGACCAAGCGUUGUUCGGAUUUACUGGGCGUAAAGGGCGCGUAAGCGGCGUGACAAGUCACUUGUGAAAUCUCCGGGCUUAACUCGGAACGGCCAAGUGAUACUGUCGUGCUAGAGUGCAGAAGGGGCAAUCGGAAUUCUUGGUGUAGCGGUGAAAUGCGUAGAUAUCGUUUGGAACGCCAAUGGUGAAAACAAGUAGCUGGGGAUGUGCCGACGCUGAGACACGAAAGCCAGGGGAGCGAACGGGG
rnacentral:rRNA from 1 species